rnacentral:sRNA from 1 species
UUCUUUUAGUUUCCGGUAUCUCUGCAAUGGCGGCUCUGGACUCCCUGUCGCUGUUCACUAGCCUCGGCCUGAGCGAGCAGAAGGCCCGCGAGACGCUCAAGAACUCGGCUCUGAGCGCGCAGCUGCGCGAGGCCGCUACUCAGGCUCAGCAGACCCUGGGUUCCACCAUUGACAAAGCUACCGGGACCCUGUUAUAUGGCUUGGCCUCCCGACUCAGGGAUACCCGGCGUCUCUCCUUCCUUGUAAGCUACAUAGCCAGUAAGAAGAUCCACACUGAGCCCCAGCUAAGCGCUGCCCUUGAGUAUGUGCGGAGUCACCCCUUGGACCCCGUCGACACUGUGGACUUCGAGCGGGAAUGUGGCGUGGGUGUCAUUGUGACCCCAGAGCAGAUUGAGGAGGCUGUGGAGGCUGCUAUUAACAGGCACCGGCCCCAGCUCCUGGUGGAACGUUACCAUUUCAACAUGGGGCUGCUGAUGGGAGAGGCUCGGGCUGUGCUCAAGUGGGCAGAUGGCAAAAUGAUCAAGAAUGAAGUGGACAUGCAGGAGGCGGAGGUUGCAGUGAGCGGAGACUGU